rnacentral:lncRNA from 1 species
AAAGCCCUUUCUAUGAAGGUUACAGGUUCUAUAUCUGCUUUCAGAUGACAUUUGUCUAUGUUUUUGUAGGAUUCUAUUCUGACAAGCACAAAACCCUGCACCAAGUUGAACCUGUCCUUUGUGAUGAGGCUGUUGAACAGAAGAGCAGCAUAGCAGUCUGUCUAUUCUUGUUCCACAUUCAGCUAAAUGCCAACUCCGAUCCCUUUGAGAUGGUGAACAGGCUGAACCCAGGGAUCGUGUCAUCCCUCAGUAUCCAGACUUCUUCAGAGAACCUUGUGGUGAAACUUCUUGAUUAAGGUUGCAAAAGGAGAGACAAUUAUACAUUUUGUGAUGCGGAAGAGAAAUGUACAAGAGCACUACUGAAGAAGUCCGGCC